rnacentral:lncRNA from 1 species
GUUAGAGAAGACCAAUUAAUAGACAGUGCUAAAGCCUGGAUCUCCUGAAUCCUGGUGACUGGUGACUUUCUGGGUGACGGCUGCUUCUUCGGUCUGAUUCACCCGGUAGAUCCCUCAGCUAACUCUGUGAUAGAUAUGCAGCACGAGGUGGAUAUCAACCCUGGAUGUUUUAAGUGACUGAAACUUUGAGAUGAAAGUGUCAUAAGUUAGAUUCCUGGGAAGAAAAUUCUGAGACACAUUCUGCUGGAUGAUUAUUAGGGCCCAUCCUUGGUUUCAACAUCCAUAGAAGGAAGGGGGAAGAAGGAAUCGAACAGAGGAGAGACAGAAGUCGAGAUGCAUUUCAGGCCGGGACUCUUGACUGAACCC